AUUUCAUGGCAAAAUUUGAAAACAAACCACAAUGAUUUUGAAAUGAUGGGAUAAAAUGAAGGAUUAAAAACGCAAAUAACCCAUCAGUGUUUAAAACCCUUUUCAUCUCCAAUUAAAAGCCUACUCUGCAGCAGCAAUAGGCGCAAAAUUGCUUCAUCUUCCUUUUUCUUUUUUAAAACAACAGAGGGAAGAAAGAGGGAUCUGCUAGGCCUUCUUUAAAGCCCUAACUAUCGCCACGCCACCGCCGUUCAAGCUUCGCCGCCGACUCCGAUUCAGUGUUGUCUGUGGCUUGCAAAUGUGUGAGCGUUUUGCGAGUGGACGUGCCAGCAAAGAUGUGGGACAGUUUGGGAGGCUGCCGAACGUGGGGCGUGCACGGCACUGGAGGUUGCUGCGACGUGGGGUGGCUACUGCUAACUGCUGCUUAGGGUUAGGCUAGGGUUAGCACACUUGGGCCUUAUUGGGCCAAAUGCAAUUGGGUCAGGAUUGGCCCAAGUUUUAUUGGAUUUGAUUGGUUAAUUUGGGCCCCGGGUUAAAAUUGGCUAUUACAAUUAUAUAUAAUUCUUAAAUUAUAAUUUUAAA